UACGGGGGGGGCGAAGCGUUGUUCGGAAUUACUGGGCGUAAAGGGCUCGUAGGCGGCCAACUAAGUCAGACGUGAAAUCCCUCGGCUUAACCGGGGAACUGCAUCUGAUACUGGAUGGCUUGAGAUUGGGAGAGGGAUGCGGAAUUCCAGGUGUAGCGGUGAAAUGCGUAGAUAUCUGGAGGAACACCGGUGGCGAAGGCGGCAUCCUGGACCAACACUGACGCUGAGGAGCGAAAGCCAGGGAGGCAAACGGG
rnacentral:rRNA from 1 species